UUUUCAUGAUAUUUGUCAGCUUUUUGAUGCCAUUUAUAAAGCUGUCAAUGCAAUCACACACAAUUACAUGCAAUCCUGUCUUUCCAGGUGAAAAGUAAAACACUCAUCAAACUUAGGCACCAAAUAAAACAUGAUAAAGCUUUCAGCUACGUCUGGCACCAUGCCGGCCUAACUGCAGCCCCACCGAGCGACCCUUGGCUCUCUGACAGCAACCACAAGGACAGAAUGAAACUAUCGCUGGCCCUGACUCGGCCUGAGUCACAGUGCGUCAACGGUGUUAGCAUAGGUAGGCUGUUCGAUCUGUGUGAUCCGGAGGGACCCAACUCGCCCAGAGGUUGCAUAAAAAAAGACCCGUGCGCCAGACUGUUGCGAAUACCCCUGUCUUUGGGCUGAGAUUUGCAAAUUGUGCUUGUUGACUUGAGUGGGCUGAUACAUUCUUGACUGUGAGAAGUUGUCAGUGCGUGGUUUGAAGCUAGUUCAUGUUCAGAGCCUCCGUCGAUCAAGAGAGGAAUGGGAGAACGCUUUCUAUGGCCUGAAUGUUUGAUUUGUUAACAGACUGAUAUGACUGCAUCUGCUUUAUGGGGUUUAAAUAACUAAACAACUCAGAUAAAGAUUUUCCAGAUAUUUGUGCUGAUGGAUGCUUUACUCUCUCAUAUUGCUGCUGAUUUAGCCAACUGCUUCCAGUCAUCCCAGUAUCACCUGCUGCUGCCUAUUCCACACAAACUAAGGACAGUACUGGAUGACUUUCACUGCCAUCUAGUGAUCAAUUUUUCUUUUCCACACUACCUAAAUGUUCAAAUAUUGUGUGGCACUAUUUUCAACAACAUAAAUCUAAUUAAGCAUCUGCUUGACAGAAAACAAAGAAAAAACAUUUUCAAAUAGUAAAUAAUCUGCUGCAGAAUAAUGCAGAGAGAAACAGAGUAUUGGUCAUAAAGGUAAACUGGAUGCUUAUUAACCAUUUAUUCAGAGCUACAAAGAAAAGCUGACUGGGUUUCUAGAAAAUAAGGCUACGGCAUUAGCUAAUUUAAGGGAGGAAACAUCCCAGUAAUGUGGGUCUUACAGAGGACUUCAGCCUGUCAAGUCGCUGGGUCUCCAGUGAGCACACUCUGGGACCAAAGGCUUAAAAUUGGCAUCAAAACAGAGGUAGCAUUGGUAACAUCAGUCAGUAACUGCGUAUAUGCCAACUAUGUUUCCAACAAUCUGAUGCAAUGGCCAAUCCAUACAGUGCUUGGUUUGCAAAAACACAAUCACAGCUCCUGUUCCUCUGGAAAAGAAUCCUAUCUAUAAACCCUGACAAGCACACUAAUUCAGUUUUGAGCUAAUCUAAACCUUAAAAGGGCAGUUAAGAAGAGUGGUGUGGAAAGGUUAAGAGUAGUUACCCUCUGACCUGCAGUAGAUAGGAUUCACCUCAGGUAGAAUGAAGAGAAGUCUGGACAGUCUGGGAGAUCAUAGCGUGUCAGAAUGUCUUCUAAAUCAAAGUGAACUUUUACUCUCUUUAAAUGAUUUCAAUCACAUCAUGCUAGAGGAUUUAGAAUGCUGCUUUACAACGUGUGAGCUUUAGCAGUCUCAGCUACUAAAAAUAUCCAUCUGGUGUUAGGAUGAAAUGUUUAGAGUCCAUCCAACUGAUCAAAUAUAAUAUCAACAUGCAGAAGUUAAAUGUUAUGACACUUGAAGUAAAUGUACUAUCAAAUAUUGUGUCCAAGCAAUCCUUUGAAAUACUGCAUGCAUGAUGUAGUAAUUAUGAUUGGUACAGAAAUGUGUUUUGGGUGGAGUCCAAACUUCUUUUUCUUUCCCCAAAUUCUGGUUGCUAAGAGUUAUUUACAACAGGUUAGACACCAACUACUUACAAACACGUCCCAUGACAUUAUUUUAGAAAAGAAAGGCCUGAAGGCAGGGCUGCAGUGAGGCCUUUGGUAGCUGGCAAAUGUUAAAAGUCAAUUGAAGAACAUGGAAUGACAAGAUAGAAAGGCAAUAAGGAACACAGGACAGAGAGAUUCCUGUAGAAAGCAAAACAUUUCUCUUUUUCUCUCUCUUUACAUUUAAGUUAUCUUGGGUUUUGGGGAAAAAAGUUACAAGGCUGCUGGUGACUUUAAGACAAAAUAAAUGUUGUUGUAGUAGUAGAGGCAUACCAGAGGUGUGGUUGCGUUGAGCUUCUUGUUGUUGCUAAUCUCCCAGAAAAUGACUUUACAAAUGGAAUAAAUAUGAAGUAAAGCCUCAGUCGCCACAGAUUAAGAGCAGGGGACGCCAUGGCUUCUUAAAGGGAUACUCUGACAUCGUCUUCAAUUCCAAUUUAGAACCUCUGAACCCACAUAAACUAAAGAUAAAUGCUUGGACUCCAUGAAGUAUUUGGGAAAAGUACUUCAACCACUUCAGUAUAUGUGACACUCUCUAUCAGUACACUUUGACUCCAGGUGUUUGACCUUUUCUAAUACUGCAACAUUUUAUUAUUUGUUUAGUCCACAAGAUACUUACAAAACUGAAUAUGCCAUAUAUGCUGCUGACCGUUUUCCAUGUGAUUAAGAGUCAUAUGCUGAUAGAGAUGACUCAAAUGAGUGUGUGUGUGUGUAUGUGUGUGUGAGUGUGUGUGUUUGGGAGCUGGGUCUACAUCUUGAUUCCCUCCUGCUGGCUGAGCUGAGACAGCGUCUUCUUGAUCCGGAGCGCGGUGAGCC